AGAGUUUGAUCCUGGCUCAGGAUGAACGCUAGCGACAGGCUUAACACAUGCAAGUCGAGGGGCAGCAUAGAAGUAGCAAUACUUUGGUGGCGACCGGCGCACGGGUGAGUAACGCGUAUGCAACCUACCUAUCAGAGGGGAAUAACCCGGCGAAAGUCGGACUAAUACCGCAUAAAACAGGGGCACCGCAUGGUGAUAUUUGUUAAAGAAAUUCGCUGAUAGAUGGGCAUGCGUUCCAUCAGGUAGUUGGUGAGGUAACGGCUCACCAAGCCGACGAUGGAUAGGGGAACUGAGAGGUUGGUCCCCCACACUGGUACUGAGACACGGACCAGACUCCUACGGGAGGCAGCAGUGAGGAAUAUUGGUCAAUGGGCGGGAGCCUGAACCAGCCAAGUCGCGUGAAGGAAGAAGGAUCUAUGGUUCGUAAACUUCUUUUGCAGGGGAAUAAAGUGCAGGACGUGUCCUGUUUUGUAUGUACCCUGAGAAUAAGGAUCGGCUAACUCCGUGCCAGCAGCCGCGGUAAUACGGAGGAUCCGAGCGUUAUCCGGAUUUAUUGGGUUUAAAGGGUGCGUAGGUGGUUUGAUAAGUCAGCGGUGAAAGUUUGCAGCUUAACUGUAAAAAUGCCGUUGAAACUGUCGGACUUGAGUGUAAAUGAGGUAGGCGGAAUGCGUGGUGUAGCGGUGAAAUGCAUA
rnacentral:rRNA from 1 species